rnacentral:rRNA from 1 species
UACGAAGGGGGCGAGCGUUGUUCGGAUUUACUGGGCGUAAAGGGCGCGCAGGCGGCUAUCCAAGUCAGGCGUGAAAGCCCCGGGCUUAACCUGGGAGGUGCGUCUGGGACUGGGUGGCUAGAGUUCGGGAGAGGAGAGUGGAAUUCCCAGUGUAGAGGUGAAAUUCGUAGAUAUUGGGAAGAACACCGGUGGCGAAGGCGGCCAACUGGACCACAACUGACGCUGAGGCGCGAAAGCGUGGGGAGCAAACAGG